rnacentral:rRNA from 1 species
GGCAAUGGCGCGGCUACCAUGCAGUCGACGAUGAGCCCUUCGGGGUGGAUUAGUGGCGAACGGGUGAGUAACACGUGGGCAAUCUGCCCUUCACUCUGGGACAAGCCCUGGAAACGGGGUCUAAUACCGGAUACGACACAGGGAGGCAUCUCCUCGUCUGGAAAGCUCCGGCGGUGAAGGAUGAGCCCGCGGCCUAUCAGCUUGUUGGUGGGGUAACGGCCCACCAAGGCGACGACGGGUAGCCGGCCUGAGAGGGCGACCGGCCACACUGGGACUGAGACACGGCCCAAACUCCUACGGGAGGCAGCAGUGGGGAAUAUUGCACAAUGGGCGAAAGCCUGAUGCACCGACGCCGCGUGAGGGAUGACGGCCUUCGGGUUGUAAACCUCUUUCAGCAGGGAAGAAGCGAAAGUGACGGUACCUGCAGAAGAAGCGCCGGCUAACUACGUGCCAGCAGCCGCGGUAAUACGUAGGGCGCAAGCGUUGUCCGGAAUUAUUGGGCGUAAAGAGCUCGUAGGCGGCUUGUCACGUCCGGUGUGAAAGCCCGGGGCUUAACCCCGGGU